rnacentral:rRNA from 1 species
UACGUAGGGUGCAAGCGUUGUCCGGAAUUAUUGGGCGUAAAGAGCUCGUAGGCGGCUUGUCGCGUCGGCUGUGAAAACCUGGGGCUCAACCCCGGGCCUGCAGCCGAUACGGGCAAGCUAGAAUUCGGUAGGGGAGACUGGAAUUCCUGGUGUAGCGGUGAAAUGCGCAGAUAUCAGGAGGAACACCGAUGGCGAAGGCAGCCCCCUGGGCUAACACUGACGCUCAGGCACGAAAGCGUGGGGAACAAACAGG